CUGCUGCCUCCCGUAGGAGUUUGGGCCGUGUCUCAGUCCCAAUGUGGCCGGCCACCCUCUCAGGUCGGCUACUGAUCGUCGCCUUGGUGGGCCUCUACCCCGCCAACUAGCUAAUCAGACGCGGAUCCAUCUCAUACCGCCUCAGCUUUUCACACCGAGACAUGCAUCUCUGUGCGCUUAUGCGGUAUUAGCAGUCAUUUCUAACUGUUAUCCCCCUGUAUGAGGCAGGUUAU
rnacentral:rRNA from 1 species